rnacentral:rRNA from 1 species
UACGUAGGUGGCAAGCGUUGUCCGGAAUUAUUGGGCGUAAAGAGCGUGUAGGCGGCCAAGCAGGUCAGCUGUGAAAACUCGAGGCUCAACCUCGAGACGUCGGUUGAAACCGCUUGGCUAGAGUCCGGAAGAGGAGAGUGGAAUUCCCGGUGUAGCGGUGAAAUGCGCAGAUAUCGGGAAGAACACCCGUGGCGAAGGCGGCUCUCUGGGACGGUACUGACGCUGAGACGCGAAAGCGUGGGGAGCGAACAGG